rnacentral:tRNA from 1 species
GGCUGGUGGCGUCGUGGUUGGCGUGGCUGACUUUGGCUCCGCAGGUUGCUGGUUUGAUCCCUGCGUCUAGCUG